rnacentral:tRNA from 1 species
GGAAGGGUACAGCUCAGUGGUAGAGCACAUGCUUAGCAUGCAUGAGGUCCUGGGUUCAAUCCCCAGUACCUCCU